UACGGGGGGUGCAAGCGUUGCUCGGAAUCACUGGGCGUAAAGGGUGCGUAGGCGGCUUGGUAGGUCUGGUGUGAAAGCCCCGGGCUCAGCCCGGGAAGGGCACUAGAAACUGCCAAGCUAGAGUGCCGGAGGGGAGAGUGGAAUUCCUGGUGUAGCGGUGAAAUGCGUAGAGAUCAGGAGGAAUACCGGUGGCGAAAGCGACUCUCUGGACGGCAACUGACGCUGAGGCACGAAAGCGUGGGGAGCAAACAGG
rnacentral:rRNA from 1 species